rnacentral:rRNA from 1 species
AUUGAACGCUGGCGGCAUGCCUUACACAUGCAAGUCGAACGGCAGCACGGGGCAACCUGGUGGCGAGUGGCGAACGGGUGAGUAAUGCAUCGGAACGUGCCAUUGAGUGGGGGAUAACGUAGCGAAAGUUGCGCUAAUACCGCAUAUUCUGUGAGCAGGAAAGCAGGGGACCGCAAGGCCUUGCGCUCUUUGAGCGGCCGAUGUCAGAUUAGCUAGUUGGUGAGGUAACGGCUUACCAAGGCGACGAUCUGUAGCGGGUCUGAGAGGAUGAUCCGCCACACUGGAACUGAGACACGGUCCAGACUCCUACGGGAGGCAGCAGUAAGGAAUAUUGGUCAAUGGUGGCAACACUGAACCAGCCAUGCCGCGUGAAGGAUGAAGGCGCUCUGCGUUGUAAACUUCUUUUAAGUUGGGAGAAAAACUCAUAUUCAUAUGAGCCUGACGGUACCACUGGAAUAAGCACGGACUAACUACCGUGCCAG